UCACAGACAUGGUGUACAGGAAAAUGACCUAUGAAUUGACAGAUAAUGUGGCUGAGCUUGUCUGUCAUUUCUGUAGGCCAAUAUUCUGUAUUCCACUGCUGCUUC
rnacentral:pre_miRNA from 12 species